CGUCACUUCAUUAUUGGCUGCACCUGCGCAAUCAUGUGACGCGAUACAUUUUUUCAAAGACGUUUUUCAAGACACAGGAGAGGUCGGGUUGAAACAUUACUGAUGUUUCACGUUAAAAAUGGCUCUAAAGAUUGAUGCUAAACAACGUUUGACAUGUUUGAACAAUGUAAAUAGAUUAUUUUUUUUACUUUUCGCCGUGACUCCCCCCCGCUACUUUUUAGUAGCCUACCGAAGCGCUAACAACAUGGAACAACUUGGAGUUAUUUGGACAUCAAUUAUGAACUUUGUUGAAAGAAACCACAUUUGCAGUGGACCUGGGAUGCGUGGAAUUGCCAAUGGAUGAAGAGAAUCAAAGAUAUUCUAAAAGUGGAGGACAUCGAAUUUUCAGGAUUGUGGUCAUUGGUAACCUGAGCCGAGCAGGACAGUCAUCACACAAUACUUUGGCAGAAGUGCACCGCGCAGAAUCACCCCGGCCCGAGAAGGGUGACUGGUCUGAAAAAGAUUGGAUUCAAGAACAUGCUCUCUGUUAUGGAUACGACUCCAACGAUAGCUAUACAAGCCAAGCAGAAUCUACAAAGCCAGAGGACAUUGGGAAAGGACCCGCAUUAUCCAGGAUUCCUCAGAACAGCAGGCGCCAAAAAAAACAGAGAAUGUUGAACCGGCUCUACAAGAUCGUCGCCCAGAACAUUUUGUACCUUUGUUUUGAUUGUGACUGAUGCUCCAGCAACUGUACACAUUGCUACCCAGAACGGAUGUAAGGAUCUCUGCUGCCACUGAUUGGAACGAAUUGCAAAGAUUUCUGAAGCUGGUGUCUUAUAUCUCCCUCUCGAACUUUAAGCGUCAGCUGUCAGAGCAGUUUACUUAUCACUGUACACAGCCAAUCUGUAAAUAGCACACCCAACUACCUCAUCCCCAUAUUAUUACGUACCCUCUUGCUCUUUUGCAGCCCAGUAUCUCUACUUACACAUCAUCUGCACAUCUAUCACUCCAGUAUUAAUGCUAAAUUGUAAUUAUUUCGCCUCUAUGACCUAUUUAUUGCCUACCUCCCUACAUUUACACACACAACAGAUUUUUCUAUUAUUCUUUUUUAUUGUGUUAUUUACUGUACGUUUGUUUAUGUGUAACUCUGUGCUGUUGUUUUUGUCGCACGGCUAUGCUUUCUUGGCCAGGUCGCAGUUGUAAAUGAGAACUUGUUCUCAACUGGCCUACCUGGUUAAAUAAAGGUGAAAAAAAAUGUUCUCCCUGUUAAAAUAGUGCCCCAAAAUAAUCCCAAGAUAAUUAAAUACAAAUUGCAUACAUUGCAGAAAUUAUUCAGAUUGUUCUUAAACUUCCAGCACAUACACAUCUUGACCAUUCCCACUUUGAAAGCCUCAGAUGGCUCAAAGUGCAGGAGAGAGCGUUUCAGAUUAAA
rnacentral:lncRNA from 1 species